UACGUAGGGCGCAAGCGUUGUCCGGAAUUAUUGGGCGUAAAGAGCUCGUAGGCGGUUUGUCGCGUCUGCUGUGAAAACCUGAGGCUCAACCUCGGGCUUGCAGUGGGUACGGGCAGACUAGAGUGCGGUAGGGGUGACUGGAAUUCCUGGUGUAGCGGUGGAAUGCGCAGAUAUCAGGAGGAACACCGGUGGCGAAGGCGGAUCUCUGGGCCGUAACUGACGCUGAGGAGCGAAAGCUAGGGGAUCAAACAGG
rnacentral:rRNA from 1 species